GCCCACGUAGCUCAGUCGGCUAGAGCGGCUGCAUGGUAAGCAGCAGGUCGCCAGUUCGAUUCUGGCCGUGGGCUCCA
rnacentral:tRNA from 1 species